UGAAAUUAGCAUUUCACCAAUAUUUGUUUUAUAACAGUUGCCGAAACACAAUGCCAAGCAUGGCUCACCUAAUCAAUCCCACCAACAUGCUCCACCUCUUCUGGACAGGAACCAAGCUCAAGACUAGCCAAUUCAAGACCUCCAAAAAUCCCUACUACUCUGUUUGUUUCUCCAAAACACACCAAGUUUAAGGAAAUAAAAAAAAAAUACAGUUUUUCACUUUGCAAAAUCCACCUCGCGUCCUUGUGAAUUGGAUUCGACCUUCGUUGGAUUGGUUGGGGGCAGCAAAUAGUAGAGUAGAGGCUAGAUUUGUUGGGUUCACUGCAUAUGUUAGGCGGUGAUGCAACAGAUGAUAAGAAGGGAAGCGAGGAAUUAUAUGAUGGGGAAGAAUAGGGCGCCGCUAGUAAUGGUGGAGGUGUUGGUCUGUGUUUUGAGGCUGUUGGGGGAGAAGGGAUUAGAAAUGUAGUGAUGAAUUAAGUAGAAUGAGUAGAAUUGAUUCUGAAAUUGAACAGAGGAGAGAGU
rnacentral:misc_RNA from 1 species